AUGGGUUUUGGUCGAAAUGGCGUAACAGCAUCUUGUUACUUUCGCCCAAGGAUGGGACUGCGGCCGAUCAGGCUGUUGGUGAGGUAAAGGCUCACCAAACCAGUAACCGGUACGGGCUUUGAGAGAAGGAGCCCGGAGAUGGACACUGAGACAAGGGUCCAGGUCCUACGGGGCGCAGCAGGCGCGAAACCUUCGCAAUGCGCGCAAGCGCGACGAGGUUAUUCUGAGUGAUUUCCGCUGAGGAAAUCUUUUCUUAGAUCUAAAAAGUCUGGGGAAUAAGGGGAGGGCAAGUCUGGUGUCAGCCGCCGCGGUAAUACCAGCUCCUCGAGUGGUCAGGGCGUUUAUUGGGCCUAAAGCAUCCGUAGCCGGCUCAUUAGGUCUCCUGUUAAAUCCAACGGCUCAACCGUUGGUCUGCAGGAGAUACCGAUGGGCUAGGAGGCGGGAGAGGCGGACGGUACUCCGAGGGUAGGGGUAAAAUCCUUUGAUCCCCGGAAGACCACCAGUGGCGAAGGCGGUCCGCCAGAACGCGCUCGACGGUGAGGGAUGAAAGCUGGGGGAGCGAACCGGAUUAGAUACCCGGGUAGUCCCAGCUGUAAACGAUGCAGACUAGGUGUUUGGACGGCCACGUGCCGUUCUAGUGCCGCAGGGAAGCUGUUA
rnacentral:rRNA from 1 species